rnacentral:tRNA from 1 species
GUAUAUAUAAUUUAAAUAAAAUAUUAAACUGUGACUUUAAUUAUGAGAGUUAA